rnacentral:rRNA from 1 species
UGGGGAAUUUUGGACAAUGGGGGAAACCCUGAUCCAGCCAUCCCGCGUGUGCGAUGAAGGCCUUCGGGUUGUAAAGCACUUUUGGCAGGAAAGAAACGUCAUGGGUUAAUACCCCGUGAAACUGACGGUACCUGCAGAAUAAGCACCGGCUAACUACGUGCCAGCAGCCGCGGUAAUACGUAGGGUGCAAGCGUUAAUCGGAAUUACUGGGCGUAAAGCGUGCGCAGGCGGUUCGGAAAGAGAGAUGUGAAAUCCCAGAGCUCAACUUUGGAACUGCAUUUUUAACUACCGGGCUAGAGUGUGUCAGAGGGAGGUGGAAUUCCGCGUGUAGCAGUGAAAUGCGUAGAUAUGCGGAGGAACACCGAUGGCGAAGGCAGCCUCCUGGGAUAACACUGACGCUCAUGCACGAAAGCGUGGGGAGCAAACAGG